AAGGCGGGCUGGACACCCCCCGCUGGGCACUGCUUCACGGCGUGCGCGGCGGGGCCGGCCCUGCUGAAUUAUUCACCCGUGUCUUUUGCGUACUUCUUGUUUCCUGGGUGGGCUCGCCCGCCCUCAGGACCAACCACAAACCUUUUGCAAUAGCAAUCAGCGUCAGUAACAACGUAAUUAAUUACAACUUUCAACAACGGAUCUCUUGGUUCUGGCAUCGAUGAAGAACGCAGCGAAAUGCGAUACGUAGUGUGAAUUGCAGAAUUCAGUGAAUCAUCGAAUCUUUGAACGCACAUUGCGCCCUUUGGUAUUCCAAAGGGCAUGCCUGUUCGAGCGUCAUUUGUACCCUCAAGCUUUGCUUGGUGUUGGGCGUCUUUUGUCUCCAAUUCGCUGGAGACUCGCCUUAAAGUCAUUGGCAGCCGGCCUACUGGUUUCGGAGCGCAGCACAAGUCGCGCUCUUUGCCAGCCAAGGUCAGCGUCCAGCAAGCCUUUUUUUCAACCUUUGACCUCGGAUCAGGUAGGGAUACCCGCUGAACUUAAGCAUAUCAAUAA
rnacentral:misc_RNA from 1 species